rnacentral:rRNA from 1 species
GAGUUUGAUCGUGGCUCAGGAUGAACGCUGGCGGCGUGCCUAACACAUGCAAGUCGAACGGAGUUUAUGAGGAAGAAGCUUCGGCGGAAUUCUUAUAAACUUAGUGGCGGACGGGUGAGUAACACGUGGAGAACCUGCCUCUUACCGGGGGACAGCAGUUGGAAACGACUGAUAAUACCGCAUAAGCGUACGAGACCGCAUGGUCCUGUGUGAAAAGAUUUAUCGGUAAGAGAUGGCUCCGCGUCUGAUUAGCCAGUUGGCGGGGUAACGGCCCACCAAAGCGACGAUCAGUAGCCGGCCUGAGAGGGUGAACGGCCACAUUGGGACUGAGACACGGCCCAGACUCCUACGGGAGGCGAGCAGUGGGGGAUAUUGCACAAU